UGCAAUUGAGGGCUGACCACAGGUAG
rnacentral:piRNA from 1 species